AGUGAACGCUGGCGGUAGGCCUAACACAUGCAAGUCGAACGGCAGCACAGGAGAGCUUGCUCUCUGGGUGGCGAGUGGCGGACGGGUGAGGAAUACAUCGGAAUCUACUCUGUCGUGGGGGAUAACGUAGGGAAACUUACGCUAAUACCGCACACGACCUACGGGUGAAAGCAGGGGAUCUUCGGACCUUGCGCGAUUGAAUGAGCCGAUGUCGGAUUAGCUAGUUGGCGGGGUAAAGGCCCACCAAGGCGACGAUCCGUAGCUGGUCUGAGAGGAUGAUCAGCCACACUGGAACUGAGACACGGUCCAGACUCCUACGGGAGGCAGCAGUGGGGAAUAUUGGACAAUGGGCGCAAGCCUGAUCCAGCCAUACCGGGUGGGUGAAGAAGGCCUUCGGGUUGUAAAGCCCUUUUGUUGGGAAAGAAAUCCAGCUGGCUAAUACCCGGUUGGGAUGACGGUACCCAAAGAAUAAGCACCGGCUAACUUCGUGCCAGCAGCCGCCGUAA
rnacentral:rRNA from 1 species